GCAUUUGAAUUACAGAGCUAAGAUUGAACCCCAGGAUUUGGGAGAGAAAGGACAGAGACAAUGGAGCACUAAAGUUUAGAUCACACCGUGAAGGAAACUGGAAAAGCUAAGUGUGGUUAUAUGGAAAGUCAAUACUCACAUUGUAUGGGGAAGUGUUACGCAAUUGCAUAGACUUUAACUCCUGUGUAGCGAGGUGCUAAUACCAUGUGGCAAACUGUGUAACUGAUGUAUCAAGAGGAGGAUACUCUAGCACAUAAAGAAUGAGCAGAGGAAGGGCAUCUGACUCAGCUCUCAGUAGCUGGAGGUGUCCAGAAAGGUUUCUAUGAAGAAACUGGAACUGAAUUUUGAAGAAUAGGCACAUCUUCCAGGUAAGUGGAUGGGGAAAAUGAGUGGGACCACGAAGAGAAAAACGGAAUAUCCAAGAGGGAUAGGAAGUGGUAUGUGUAAGAAGAAAGGGGAGUUUCAGUAUUCAGCUGGCGAGAUCAGUUUGUGUAAUGUUCAUUUGGAGAUGUGUGAACUGAAGAAGUAAUAAUGCCCAGCAGUCAGGCCUGAUUUUGUCUGAGGUUUGGAGUUAGAAGUGGCUAAAUAUAAAGAUGUGAGCAUCACGUAUGUAUUGAUAGUAUUUAAAGUUAGGGGUUUAAAAGCAUCUUCCCAAAGGAGUGCAUGAGGGUAUAGGAGUUGAAAUCAAUGUGCUAUAGUAAAGGAAUAAUGGAAAGUAAAUAGGGGGGAAAAUAUGAGUAGAGGCUAUUCUUUCAAGGAGCUUGGUUUAGAGGGUAAUGAGUGUUAUAGUAUUAGUUAAAGAAUGAUGUAUCUUCUCGAACAGGGUUUCUUAACAGCCAGUAGACAUUUGGGGAUGCAUAACUUUGCUAUGAGGAGCUGUUCUGUGCAUUUUCAGAAAUUUAGCAGCCAUCCCUGAGCUCUACCCACUUGAUGCCAGCAGCAUAUCCACUGCAAGCUGUGACAACCAGACUAUCUCCAAGCAUUGCCAAAUGCCUUCUGAGGGCAAAUUUAUCCCCGGUUGAGAACCAUGGCUCUAGAAGGCGUUCAUUUUAAUUAAACAAUCAAUAAGCAUAACUGCAAUUAGAAGAGGAUACGAUUGAAUAGUGAGAGGUGCAAGGGGGAAAGAGAAGCAGUCUGCUGAUGGGAUCACUGGGAAUAAGAACUUUCAAAGACAGAGGAAAAUAGACUCAGGAAAAAAAUGGAGAGUAAUACUGUUCAUAGGAUUAGGAGGAAAACUCAGAGAGGCUGCCAGCCAGUGAUAUCAUAGCUUGUGAUAUUCUUAUCAUUAGAUAUGUUAAAAAGGAAGCCAGUUGUCUCUGUUCCCAGCUGAAGACAAUCCUCCCACUUGCGUCCUGGAUUCCUACCUUUCUCACCUGGUCGAGAUCUUUGCUCUGGCUGCAUUCCGUCACUCUUCCUCAGUAGCAGACCGUCCCUCUCUACAGAUUAUUCCUGUCGUAAAAUGAUUCAAGCUUCCAUGGAGACAGUUCUUGAGCCCACAAACAGGAAAGGUUAAGUGCAGUUCUUUCUUAUUACUGCUGUAACAAAUUGUUCCAAACUUAGUACUUAAAACAACAAAUUUACUUUCUUAACAUGUUUUGCAGCCGAAAAUCUGCAAUGAGCAUUACAGGGCUGAGAUCAUGGUGUCGGUCAGUGCCGUGUUCGUCUGAAGGCUCCAGGGCAGAGUCUCUUCCCUUGUCUUUCCCAGCUUCCACAGUCUGUCUUGAUCCCUUGGCUUAUGAGCUCUUGUCUGUCUUUAAAGCACAUUGUUUCAGGAGUUCCUGUCGUGGCGCAGUGGUUAACGAAUCCGACUAGGAACCAGGAGGUUGCGGGUUCGGUCCCUGGCCUUGCUUAGUGGGUUAACGAUCCGGCGUUGCCAUGAACUGUGGUGUAGGUUGCGGACGCACGGCUUCAGAUCCCGCAUUGCUGUGGCUCUGGCGUAGGCCUGUGGCUACACCUCCGAUUCGACCCCUAGCCUGGGAACCUCCAUGUGCUGCGGGAGCCGCCCAAGAAAUAGCAAAAAGACAAAAAAAUAAAAAAUAAAAAAAAUAAAGCACAUGGUUUCAGCCUCUGCUUCCGUCACUCCGUCUCCUUCUUAUGACUUUGACUUUUUGGCCUCUAUUUUAGAAGGAUCUUUUUGAUCACAUUGAGCGCAUAUGAAUAAUCCAGGAUAAUCUUCCUAUCUCAAGAUCUCUAACCCUAUCACAUCUCCAAAAUUCCCUUUUACUGUGUAAGGUAAUAUAUUAGAGUUGCCAGAGAUUAGGAUGUGGACGUAUUUGGAAGGGCUACUACUGUAUGGUGAAAGGAAGACUAUGACGAGGUGAUAAGAAUUAUGCAGGUUAGAUACAUGAGAUGGAGGAGGAAGAAUUAUAUCUGGAAGGCAUUUUGACUAAAAGUAAGACAAACCUUGGUCAUGAUAAGUAGAAUAAAAGAGAUCAGCCUAUCCAUCUGUUGCUUGGUUCUCAAGACUGAACUAGAAUAGGACCAGGGUCCCCAAGGACAGGUUAAUGCACGGUGGUAGUUAACAUUCACUCCAUUUCAUUCUCAUUUUUAUCAAUCUACUAGAAAAUCUAGCAGUUUAAUUUCUGGUGCAUUUGGAGGCCAUCAGGUGUUCUUUAAAUGCAGCCUCUCAAGAAAAUAAAGUUUCAUCAGAACCAUCUGGCAAGUCUACAUCACAAGGGAACAGAGUGGCAGACCCAACCUGCUUGGGAUACACAUUUCAUGCAAAUGUGUUAGGGCGCAAAUGCUACUGAUCUCACAUCUCAAAUGGUCAAUGGAGGUCGCUUUAUUGCUAUGCCUUCUAUUAUUAGCAAUAUGAAAUUUCCAAUCUGUUUACUUCUCUUUGUUACCUGAGAUCAGUUUCACAAUAAGCUACACACAACAUAUUCUACUAAGCUCUGACUCAGGAAAGAAAAUGAUUGUAACCAGAAGUGGGUGUUGAUGUCUAAUACAUGUAAAUGUAGCAAAAAACCAUUAGACAAUGAAAGUUAGCUCCCAGAUGGUACUACCAUCUGGAACAUAAAUCCAUAAAGGUACUUCUGUAGUAUUUUUGCAAUGAAAAAUCAGGCCUUACUGAGAAUUUUUAAUGGCCACUUACGAAGUUCACUGUUAACAUUAGUGUUGAUAAAUGACAAUUAUACAUGUAUAUACACACUUGCAUUCGUCAAGGAAGAUCUAGAAGCUCCCGGCUUCUGUUAAAGAAAAAGUGUGUUGUAAACUAAUUGGUCUCUGGGAGAAUGCAUGCAGCUGCUUUAGUAACUGGGAUGUGAAAAAUUUUAAUUCCAUGUAAGUGCAGAAAGCAACAUUCAUCUAUUAGGACUUUUUUCUUUGUUUUGUCUUUUUAAGUCUUUUGCAAAUAUUAACCAGGUACUUUACUUAAUUCUCUUUUACAUUCUCAUUUCACAGAUAGAUGAGUAAGAGAAAGACAAUUAGUAAUUUAUUUGCAGCUUUAAAGUAAAUAACACAUGGAGUCUCCCUGCUAUAAUAUGAUUUUCUCUAAAGCAGACAGGGAAAUGAGACUGGCUUUGUCUGAAGGCUAUUAAGGAGUGUCCUUCUUAAUGUCAUUACCUCAUCUGUUAUACAGUCUGCAGCAUCACCCAGGCAGUACUGUAGUAAUGGUUCUUUCUACUGAUUAUUUGCAUGAAAACUCCUUAAUUUAUACUUGUAACACUUCUUUCUGUAAGAAAAAAAAAAUCAAGUGACUUCUACUUAGAAACAAGUUUCUAUAGGAUGUUUUUAGGCAAUUGUACUCCUUUAUGGAUAUGUAAAAGGCCAUGUAAAGGCAAGCUGAUCUAUAUGCUCCUAUUUUAUUUACAUAUUUAUGUAUUUUUUAACAUUGAAUUGGUUCCACUGUUGCUGUUUUCUGUGGGAUGAGAGUUGAAGAACUUUAGGGCUGAAUUUCAAUGUGAUCUGAGAAAUGUGCAAUAAAUAGCAGACAGAUUGAUUUCCUAGAAACCUGUCAUAAUGAGAUUGCACAGAAUAUCGGGCCCGGCUUCAGGCUUACUCUUCAUUGAUCCCCAAGUGAUAUGGCUGACCAUGAAAUUCCACUUGUUUCCAUGUUAGAACCUACUUAGGAAACACGGCCCCUGGAUGAUAAUGGCAGAUUCGGAAAAGAUCUUUAUGUAUAUAGUGUAUGGAGACACAUACACACACAAAGUGCCUCUUACCUCAAAGUUCCCCUCUCACCUUCACCCCCUGUAUUAGAAAAUUCAAUUGAAAACUUACUAACUUUUGAUCCCUUAUGCAUUUUAUUGUUAUAAAUUCCUCCAAUGCCAGACAUGAGUAAUUCACAAAACAUAGAUGAAUUGGAUCCUCUCAUUUGUGAAGCUCGGCACUUCAUCUUUGUCAUACCUCUGUAAUGGAAUAGGUUUAGUUAUUAGCUGAAUAUAAUCUUAUAAAGAUGUGUAUUUGAAAGUAAAAUGGAAUUCAUGUUUUCAUCCAUGAGUGGCAUAUUUAAAUUCUGUUCACAGUGAAGUGCUACAUAUAAUUUCAUUUUGGAAUUUUAAAUGUCCUUAGUGGAUGCAUAGCUUUUAGCAUUAAAUGUGUGCUGUGUAUCCAUUCUUAGCUCUCCAGUGCCAGAGAACUUCAACAGAAGGAUAUGGGAGAGUCUAACCACACUAAUAUUGUUAGGGAAAUCAUCAUUAGUCAGUGCUCUAUUUCAGUGGUAGAGGAUUGGGAGUUCAAGUCCCAUUUCCGUUUCUGUCUGUAUUUAACUGCCAGAUGCAUAGGAUAUUUCCCCAGAAAGGUUCAGUGGAAUAUGAAAGAGUCAGAAACCAAAUUAGCAGCCCUGGACUGGGGCCAUGAACUGGGGUGAAAUAUAGAUCAGCACAAAUGUCUCCCAUCUUCUCUUUUAGACCAAUUGUGAGUGUUUUUUUGAUUGAAACAAUUAUAAAACUGAUAUGAGUUGGCGAAAUUGAAAACUACCAAAAUAACUGCAUGGCACUAGCUUCGAUAUUCCUCACAUUGGGGACUGAAAAUCUAUCUUCUGGUUCAUAAAGUAAGAAAACGUGAGAGCACUGAACUUUUAGAUCCUAUUAGUAGUAUAAAAAUAUCACACUUGGCAUUUUGGUUCAUUAUGCAGAUUAAGAAUAUUGGACAAGCAUUACUCUGAGAUCUGAGAUCAUGGCUAGUCAUUUAUCUCUGAGGGAAAAGGGUGUAGUAAAUAUUCAUUUCACUUUGUUACUGAGAAUUGAGCAUAGAUUCCUAGAGUGACAUGAUAUCUGAAAUUGUUUCCCUUUUAAUAAUAACAAGAUUAAUGUUCCUUCUAUACUUGUGUGUGAUAACUGGUAUACAUAGUAACUCUCUUCCUAAGAAACACUCAUGCUAUUACAAAAUAAUAAAGCUCAAACUUUGCAUAGCACCAUUUCACCACUACCACCACCCACUCUAUCUACUCAAAGAUAUAAAAUCUAUUUCCUUUGUGAAAUGGAUUGUGCAUUGUUAAAUUUGCGCCAACUAGGAAUACCCAGAAGUCUGGGCCUUUUAUCCCCAAAAGCUCCCAUUUCAUUUUCCACUCAGCUGUCAAGCAUUUUAACAUAAGUGCAUUGCAUGUGCUCUGCCUGUUUGUCUCUUUUCCAGAUGAGCUCAUGUCAACUUUUUUUAAAAUGCAGAUUAAGAGGUCUUACGUCCUAGAUCUAACCAUGACAUUUUUUAAAAUUUAGCCAUGGAAAGUCUGUUCUUUCUUUCAUAGAUGUUUCCUCCCAUCGUUCCUCAUCGGAUUUCCAUCAACUUUUGAAUUAGAGUAUGUGAUUUUGGUGGUGGUGGCGAUGGUUGUUUUUGCUUUCAAAGGAAAUGGCAAAUAGAAAUGAGAUGGAGCUAACUCCCCUUUAACUUACUCUCCAAAGCUUAGAGAGUUUAGGAGCUUAUGAUUCUAUAAGAAUUAAUAAUUGGAAAAGGCAUGGAAUGGGAACUACCAUAGUAGACAAGGGAGAAUAGAGAGGGAGGAAGGAUGUUAUGGUAACUCAAUACAUUUGUUAUGAUAUCAUACAUGUGCUAUUGUAUGACAUUAUAUAUGUAAUACAUAAUAUAGUCGAAAUGCAUCCAGUCUUCCUGUAUGAAUUGAAUUUGAUGUUCUUGGUAACAGUUCACAGUUAAGCCAAUGUUUGAGUUAAUCACAGAGCUUAAUAACUUCCCAUAUGCAUUCCAUUAACUUAAGAAAAAAGAGGAGUUCCCAUCGUGGUGCAGCAGAAAUGAAUCCAACUAGGAACCAUGAGGUUGUGGGUUUAAUCCCUGGCCUCGCUCAGUGGGUUAAAGAUCUGGCAUUGCUGUGGCUCUGGCGUAGGCCAGCGGCAACAGCUCCGAUUAGACCGCUAGCCUGGGAACCUCCAU
rnacentral:lncRNA from 1 species